rnacentral:lncRNA from 1 species
GCGAGGGUGGGGGCACCAGUGAGAGUCAAGAGCAAGCUGGCAGGCCGGGGCGGGGAGACCGCGCCGGGCGCGGCCGGGAAUUUCCUUCAAGAAGCUCAGACAGUGCGGUGGGUGGGGCGCGGUGGGCGGGGUCCUCGCUGCUGGAGGCUUUUGAAGCCUCCCCGACCGCGGUGGGAGAGGGGCAGCCUGGAAGUUGGCAGCAGGCCUGGGGCGGGGAAGGGGAGGAAGGGGCCCACGUUCCCCGGGCGCGGGGCCGGCCGCCCGCAGCACGUAGUUCGCUCCUGCAAGCUCAGGACGUGGUGGGCACGUCACCCAUGCUGCCAGGUUAACCACUGGUCUGGCGCCAGUCCAGCUCUGGCUGACCCGGGCUCAAGGGCAGCGCGGCCCGCCUCGGGUUCCCGGCCGCCCGGACCAGCCGGGGGAGGUGCCGAUCCCUCUUGCGGGAGCAGCCCCGCCCCACCCGUCACCCCGUUCCCUGCCGGGCCGCGCCGAAGGCCUGGAGCUCAGCAGGGGAAGAGCGUGGAGGGGGCGAGCGGCCUGAGCCUCGGGCACGGCCACCCAGGAGCCCGGCCACGGUGGAGUGCGCAGGAGUCGCUCCGCCCGCAGGCGAAGCCGGCAGCCCCGCGCCUGGCCAGAGGGGACACGCCUCCUCGCCGCGCAAACCUCGCUCUGGAGGAGAGAAGCGGAGGCGAGCCCCGGGGAGGCGCACCCACCCACGCGCCCCUCACGGGCGGGGACUGGCGGGACAAAAGGGCGCCCUCCCAAGCGCUCGCCCCAACGCUGGGGUUCAAGGCUGUCACAGUACAAAAGCUCUGGCAGGAAAAUACCCGGCGGAGACCCAGAUGCGAGGGGGGCGGGGGAGGAAGAGCCCGCGCAGCCACGCCCCGGCCCACCGCCCUCGGACGUCGUACGUCAGCGUGCCGGCUCCCUGCUCCAUUCCGCCCCUCCUCCCGCCGGCCAAGGGGGCACGCCUAUUGGGGCGCGCAAGCCCUGAGGCCGGGUAGGCCCCACUUGGCGUCCCGGAUUGGCCUUGCAGCAUAUCCACGGGCCAAUGGUGCCCGCCCCUGUCCUCGGCCACGCCCCCUGGCCAGGCGCGGGCGCGCGACCGCUCUAUCCCGCCGGUGCGCGCUCCGGGAUCCCCGCCCCCUCCGCGCGCGCAGCUCCCGGCGGCGGCCGCCGCCUGUAACCUGCGCCGCCAGGAUGUGGCUGGGGGCUGACGUCGGGUCCAGAUGUGGCCCCGGCCCCGCCUACCCCCGGGGCCGGGCCGCCCACACCGAGCCGCGGCGCGCACGGCGGCUGUCUCGCCUGCCACAAUGA